rnacentral:misc_RNA from 1 species
AACUUUUAGCAAUGGAUCUCUUGGCUCUCGCAUCGAUGAAGAACGCAGCGAAAUGCGAUAAGUAAUGUGAAUUGCAGACUUCAGUGAAUCAUCGAAUCUUUGAACGCAACUUGCGCUCCUUGGUAUUCCGAGGAGCAUGCCUGUUUGAGUGUCAUUAAAUUCUCAACCUUAUCAGUUUAUUUCUGAUAGUGGUUUGGAUGUGGGGGUUUUCUUGCUGGCUGAGGUCAGCUCCCCUUAAAUGCAUUAGCUGGUGCCCCGUGUGGACUUUCUAUUGGUGUGAUAAUUAUCUACGCCAUGGAUGUCUGCAAUCAUAAGGGUUUAGCACUGCUUCUAACCGUCUGUUAAUUCGGACAAUACAUGACAAUUUGACCUCAAAUCAGGUAGGACUACCCGCUGAACUUAAGCAUAUCAAUAAGCGGAGGCU